rnacentral:rRNA from 1 species
ACGAACGCUGGCGGCGUGCCUAAUACAUGCAAGUCGAACGAGAGCGACCGGUGCUUGCACUGGUCAAUCUAGUGGCGAACGGGUGAGUAACACGUGGGUAACCUGCCCAUCAGAGGGGGAUAACAUCCGGAAACGGAUGCUAAAACCGCAUAGGUCUUCGAGCCGCAUGGCUUGAAGAGGAAAAGAGGCGCAAGCUUCUGCUGAUGGAUGGACCCGCGGUGCAUUAGCUAGUUGGUGAGGUAACGGCUCACCAAGGCCGUGAUGCAUAGCCGACCUGAGAGGGUGAUCGGCCACAUUGGGACUGAGACACGGCCCAAACUCCUACGGGAGGCAGCAGUAGGGAAUCUUCCGCAAUGGACGCAAGUCUGACGGAGUAACGCCGCGUGAGUGAAGAAGGUUUUCGGAUCGUAAAACUCUGUUGUUAGAGAAGAACAAGUGCUAGAGUAACUGUUAGCGCCUUGACGGUAUCUAACCAGAAAGCCACGGCUAACUACGUG